CAAUAGCGUAUAUUAAAGUUGUUGCAGUUAAAAAGCUCGUAGUUGGACCUUGGACCUGGACAGGCGGUCCGCCUCACGGCGAGUACUGUCUUGCUGGGUCUUUCCUCUUGGUGAUCUGUCGUUUCGGCAGCAGGGAACCAGGACCUUUACUUUGAAAAAAUUAGAGUGUUCAAAGCAGGCUCGACGCCGGAAUAUAUUAGCAUGGAAUAAUAAAAUAGGACGUGCGGUUCUAUUUUGUUGGUUUUUGGAAUCGCCGUAAUGAUUAAUAGGGACAGUCGGGGGCAUUAGUACUCACAUGCUAGAGGUGAAAUUCUUGGAUUUUGUGAAGACUAACUUCUGCGAAAGCAUUUGCCAAGGAUGUUUNCAUUA
rnacentral:rRNA from 1 species